CGGGGCGUAGCGCAGCCUGGCUAGCGCGUUUGGUUCGGGACCAAAAGGUCGGAGGUUCAAAUCCUCUCGCCCCGA
rnacentral:tRNA from 1 species